rnacentral:lncRNA from 1 species
CCCCAUGGCCUCGGUGACCCCCCCCCAUCAUUGAAGUGCCAUCAAUGCCCUCCACCGGGGGCUGGUGCUGAGCGCCCGGGCACUGCGCCAUGGGAUCGGGUGGGGGAUUUAUUGGGAUGGGCGGGGGGCUAUUGGGGUUUUUGGGGUUUUGGGGUGCCGUGGGUGCUGGGGGGGCCCUUGGUGACCCCCCCAUGCCCUUGGUGACCCCCCCACGUUGUCCCAGCACCAUGGACGACCUCCACCGGGGGCUGGUGCUGGGCGCGCGGGCGCUGCGCAACGGGGGAUUUAUUGGGAUGGGCGUUGGGUUAUUGGGUUUUUUGGGGGUUUUUGGGGUUUUGGGGUGCCGGGGGGGCCCCCGGUGACCCCCCCACGUCCCUUUCAGUGCCACGGACGAUUUCAACCACGGGGUGGUGCUGAGCGCCCGGGCGCUGCGGGACGGGGAGGUGUUCACGGUGCGCCUGGACCGCACGGUGCCCAAAUGGGCCGGCUCCAUCGAGAUCGGGGUCACCACGCACAGCCCCGCGCGCCUCCAGCUGCCCUCCACCAUGACCAACCUGCGCUCAGGCACCUGGAUGAUGACGGGCAACGGGGUGAUGCACAACGGCACCACGGUGCUGGACGAGUACGGCCACAACCUCGACCGCCUCAAGGUGGGCGCCGGCACCCAUGGGUGGGGGGUGACCCUGACCCCCCCCUAACCCCACCCAAAAUCCCCAGGGGGAACCCCAAAAUCCAGGGGGGAACACCAGAAGCCAGGGGGGGACCUGAAAUGCCCAGGGCGGAACCCAAAAUCCUAAAGGGGAACCCGAAAUCCCAAAGGGGAACCCGAAAUCCCAGGGGGAAAAUGCUAAAAGUCGCGUUCUGGAACCCAAAAGUCAUGUUCUAGAACCCAAAAUCCAUGCCAGGGACCCCAAAAGUCUCCUCCUGGAACCCAAAAAUCAUCCUAGAGCACAAAAUCCAAGGGGAAGAUCCUAAAAGUCAUGUUCUGGAACCCAAAAAAUCAUGUUAUAGAACCCAUAGCCCACGCUCUAGCGCUCGGAAACCAUGCUCUAGAACCCAAAAUCCAUGGGGGAAAUCCCAAAAAUCCCAUUCUAGAACCCCAAAUCCAAGACUGGUUCCCCCCAUGGGUACCCCCCACAGGGUGCCCCCACCCAUGGGUGCCCCCACCCCCAUGACCCCCCCCACCCAUCGGU